rnacentral:sRNA from 1 species
CCCUACUGAUGCCCGCGUC